GGCUCCGUCGUCUAGUGGCCCAGGACGCCGCCCUCUCAAGGCGGUGACGCCGGUUCGAAUCCGGUCGGAGCUA
rnacentral:tRNA from 1 species